AACGAACGCUGGCGGCAUGCCUAACGCAUGCAAGUCGAACGAGAUCCUUCGGGGUCUAGUGGCGCACGGGUGCGUAACGCGUGGGAAUCUGCCCUUAGGUUCGGAAUAACAGUUAGAAAUGACUGCUAAUACCGGAUGAUGACGUUAAGUCCAAAGAUUUAUCGCCUGAGGAUGAGCCCGCGUAGGAUUAGCUAGUUGGUGUGGUAAAGGCGCACCAAGGCGACGAUCCUUAGCUGGUCUGAGAGGAUGAUCAGCCACACUGGGACUGAGACACGGCCCAGACUCCUACGGGAGGCAGCAGUGGGGAAUAUUGGACAAUGGGCGCAAGCCUGAUCCAGCAAUGCCGCGUGAGUGAUGAAGGCCUUAGGGUUGUAAAGCUCUUUUACCCGAGAUGAUAAUGACAGUAUCGGGAGAAUAAGCCCCGGCUAACUCCGUG
rnacentral:rRNA from 1 species